CGGACCUGGGCUUGUGCCUGGUGGGUCAAGUGACUCACCAGGGCCCAAAAAAAUUUUUAAGUUUUUUUUUUAAAAAAAAAUAAAUAAAUUCUAACUUCUGAGUUAGCCCUAGCCCACUUCGCCAGUUCGCCUCUUCCUCUUCGCAAGUUCGCAUCUUCCUCUUCGCCUCUUCCUCAGACCUCAGUUCCUCUUCGCUAGUUCGCUUCAUCUUCCUCUUCGCAUAAUUUCAGUUUGCUCACGCCUCCAGUGCUGACUGUGCUGCUGGCUGCUGCUCGCCUAGUCGCCUGCUCCAGCCUCCAGUGCUCUGUGCAGCUAUGCUCUGUCCUCUGCUGCUCGCCUAGUCGCCUGCUCCAGUGCCUAGUCGCUGACUUGUUGUCUUGCUGAGUGUUGGGCAUGGCCCUGCUGCAGUGCUGCUCCGCCUGCUCCGCUGCCGCCUCAAUCAUUCAGCGCCUGCCGCCUCCGCCUAGCAAGGGAAGACUCAGCUUAUCAAUCAUUUUCUGAUCAACAAGAGUUGGUAUAUUGUUAAUUUGCCUGAAUAUGGGUGAGUCUCUGUAAUUUUGGUUUUAAUUUGGGCAAUUUCUGUAAUUCUUGAGUCUAUUUCAUGCUGGGAAUAUUGUAUACUUGUAUUGUGAAUCAAUUGUUAUUCGUGUUUAUUCCUGAUCAUAUGCUUGAAUCAUAUUGAAGUGCCAAAAAAAAGGAUUGCUUUUACGCCUUGAGGCAUUGCUUUAAAAUUAUUGAUCAUCCUGUAAAACAUGUUGCGGACUGAUAUGUAUUUAGGCUACAUCCGUUGUAGUUAAUUUGGUCUCCAAUCGUGUUGUUUAUUUUCAAGUUUAGGAAGUAAAUGUCUCCUUACAUGU